ACCGGUUGGCGGCGUGCUAUCAUGCAGUCGAGCGGACAGAUGGGAGCUUGCUCCCUGAUGUUAGCGGCGGACGGGUGAGUACACGUGGGUAACCUGCCUGUAAGACUGGGAUAACUCCGGGAAACCGGGGCUAAUACCGGAUGGUUGUUUGAACCGCAUGGUUCAACAUAAAAGGUGGCUUCGGCUACCACUUACAGAUGGACCCGCGGCGCAUUAGCUAGUUGGUGAGGUAACGGCUCACCAAGGCAACGAUGCGUAGCCGACCUGAGAGGGUGAUCGGCCACACUGGGACUGAGACACGGCCCAGACUCCUACGGGAGGCAGCAGUAGGGAAUCUUCCGCAAUGGACGAAAGUCUGACGGAGCAACGCCGCGUGAGUGAUGAAGGUUUUCGGAUCGUAAAGCUCUGUUGUUAGGGAAGAACAAGUACCGUUCGAAUAGGGCGGUACCUUGACGGUACCUAACCAGAAAGCCACGGCUAACUACGUGCCAGCAGCCGCGGUAAUACGUAGGUGGCAAGCGUUGUCCGGAAUUAUUGGGCGUAAGGGCUCGCAGCGGUUUCUUAAGUCUGAUGUGAAAGCCCCCGGCUCACCCGGGGAGGGUCAUUGGAAACUGGGGAACUUGAGUGCAGAAGAGGAGAGUGAAUUCACGUGUAGCGGUGAAAUGCGUAGAGAUGUGGAAGGAACACCAGUUGGCGAAGC
rnacentral:rRNA from 1 species